rnacentral:rRNA from 1 species
AGUGGAUGGGGAGCAACCUAGUUGUGCGUGUGUAAAGGUAGUGCCAAGAAAAGCGAUGAUCAUGUUGAAAAUCAAUUCCCGGUACCCGAAACCGACACAGGUGGGCAAGUAGAGAAUACUAAGGGGCGCGAGGUAACUCUCUCCAAGGAACUCGGCAAAAUGACCCCGUAACUUAGGGAGAAGGGGUGCCACCGAGAGGUGGUCGCAGUGAAGAGGCCCAGGCGACUGUUUAGCAAAAACAUAGGUCUCUGCAAACUCGAAAGAGGAGGUAUAGGGGCUGACGCCUGCCCAGUGCCGGAAGGUUAAAGAAGUUGGUCAGUUUUAGGAUGAAGCUAGCGACUGAAGCCCCGGUGAACGGCGGCCGUAACUAUAACGGUCCUAAGGUAGCGAAAUUCCUUGUCGGGUAAGUUCCGACCCGCACGAAAGGCGUAACGAUCUGGGCGCUGUCUCGGAGAGAGGCUCGGCGAAAUAGGAUUGUCUGUGAAGAUACGGACUACCUGCAUUUGGACAGAAAGACCCUAUGAAGCUUUACUAUAGCUUGGAAUUGUGUUCGGGCUUCCUGUGCGCAGGAUAGGUGGGAGGCGUAGAAGGUAUUCUUGUGGGGAUACUGGAGCCAACGGUGAGAUACCACUCUCAGGAGGCUAGAAUUCUAACUUAAUUAAGGACAGUUUCAGGUGGGUAGUUUGACUGGGGCGGUCGCCUCCAAAAAGGUAACGGAGGCGUACAAAGGUUCCCUCAGACUGGUUGGAAAUCAGUCGAAGAGUGCAAAGGCAGAAGGGAGCUUGACUGCGAGAAGUACAGUUCGAGCAGGGUGGAAACACGGUCUUAGUGAUCCGACGGUGCUGUGUGGAAGGGCCGUCGCCCAACGGAUAAAAGUUACUCUAGGAUAACAGGCUGAUCUCCCCCAAGGGUUCACAUCGACGGGGAGGUUUGGCACCUCGAUGUCGGCUCAUCGCAACCUGGGGCGGAAGUACGUCCCAAGGGUUGGGCUGUUCGCCCAUUAAAGCGGUACGUGAGCUGGGUUCAGAACGUCGUGAGACAGUUCGGUCCAUAUCCGAUGUAGGCGUGAGAAUAUUGAGAGGGGCCUUCCUUAGUACGAGAGGACCGGGAAGGACGCACCGCUGGUGUACCUGUUAUGAUGCCAAUUGUAAACGCAGGGUAGCCAAGUGCGGAGAGGAUAACCGCUGAAAGCAUCUAAGUGGGAAGCCCACCUCAAGAUGAGUAUUCUGGUGUAAGGUCACGGGAAGACGACCCGUAAAUAGGCACGAGGUGGAAGUGCAGAGAUGUAUGAAGCCGAAGUGUACUAAUAGACCGUCGGCUU